UUGAGAAAUAUUUAUUUUGGAUGACCGGCAGAUAUCCUUAUUUCUUAAAUUUGGAACUUUGAACAUGAAAUCUCCAAUAGAAACUGGAAGAUGGCAAAACAUAGAAAGAGAAAACAGAAAAUGUGUAUUGUGUAAUUCAGAUUCCAUUGGUGAUGAAUACCAUUACAUUUUUAAUUGUUCAACUUUCGAUAAUUGUAGAAAACAAUAUAUUGCAUUUUACAAUAGAAAUAGAAUAAACACAUUGAAGUUUUAUGACUUAAUGAAUUCCCCAAAAUGUACAGAACUGAACG
rnacentral:lncRNA from 1 species